rnacentral:rRNA from 1 species
AGAGUUUGAUCAUGGCUCAGGAUGAACGCUAGCGACAGGCUUAACACAUGCAAGUCGAGGGGCAGCGAGGGAGUGGCAACACUUCUGUCGGCGACCGGCGCACGGGUGAGUAACGCGUAUGCAACCUGCCCUUCACAGGGGGAUAACCGGGAGAAAUUCCGACUAAUACCGCAUACGUCCCCUGGGGCAUCCCCUGGGGAUGAAAGAAUUAUCGGUGAAGGAUGGGCAUGCGUGAUAUUAGGUAGUUGGCGGGGUCAACGGGCCCACCAAGCCCACGAAUAUCUAGGGGUUCUGAGAGGAAGGUCCCCCACAUUGGUACUGAGACACGGACCAAACUACCUACGGGAGCGA